CAGCAGCCGCGGGAAUACGAACCGUGCGAACGUUAUUCGGAAUCACUGGGCUUAAAGCGCGUGUAGGCGGGCCGCCGCGUCGGCUGCUGAAAUCCCCCGGCUCAACCGGGGAACGGGCACCGAUACGGGCGGCCUCGAGGGGGGUAGGGGGGCCUGGAACUUCCGGUGGAGCGGUGAAAUGCGUUGAGAUCGGAAGGAACGCCCGUGGCGAAAGCGAGGCCCUGGACCCUUUCUGACGCUGAGACGCGAAAGCCAGGGGAGCGAACGGGAUUAGAUACCCCUGUAGUCCCUGUCUCUUAUU
rnacentral:rRNA from 1 species